UUCCAAAUAGGUGCCUUCGAACAAACGUGGAAGAGAUGAAGGACAAAUGUAGGACAGUAUGUACUCAGAAGGAUUCAAACGAGAAAGGGAAGUUUAAGAUGUCAUGAGUUUGCUGAAGAAUGAAGGUUUUAUUAUGAUGCAUUAAGAAGUUUAAGAAUCAAGGGAUCAAAUUUGAUCAACAGGAAGACUUUGUAUCAUACUGGAAAACAGUGACAGGCUAGGAAAUAUCUGAUGUAUCCGUGCUUCUUGGAGGUCAUAAUCUGACUUUUCGUACAUCAUU